CCUACGGGAGGCAGCAGUGGGGAAUAUUGGGCAAUGGGCGCAAGCCUGAACCAGCAACGCCGCGUGAAGGAAGAAGGCUUUCGGGAUGUAAACCUCUUUUCUCAGGGACGAAGCAAGUGACGGUACCUGAGGAAUAAGCCACGGCUAACUACGUGCCAGCAGCCGCGGUAAGACGUAGGGGGCAAGCGUUAUCCGGAUUCACUGGGUGUAAAGGGCGUGUAGGCGGGACUGCAAGUCAGAUGUGAAAACCACGGGCUCAACCUGUGGCCUGCAUUUGAAACUGUAGUUCUUGAGUACUGGAGAGGCAGACGGAAUUCCUAGUGUAGCGGUGAAAUGCGUAGAUAUUAGGAGGAACACCAGUGGCGAAGGCGGUCUUCUGGACAGCAACUGACGCUGAGGCGCGAAAGCGUGGGGAGCAAACAGGAUUAGAUACCCGUGUAGUC
rnacentral:rRNA from 1 species